ensembl:snoRNA
UGCACUUAGGUAUGUUUUUGUUUAACUUGUGGACAAAAGACUUAUGGAUAGGUGUAAAAAAUAAAUCCUCUCUUUCAACUGAGAACUCAUUGUUCAGUAUGAGUUUUGAUACAUAUAAGAAGGGAUAUU